UACAAAGAAAAACCUCUCAAAACAUCUCUUAUCAUUGGUCUUGUCAACAUCGACAAUGAGUGGGUUACUGCUAUCCUUCACCCUUAAAGUUAACCUACCCUUCCCAGUAGUUCUGAAAGAAUAACAGGGGCAUAAAUCAUUCACCUAAAAACCCAAAUCAAACUUCUCAUGAGAAUACCAAAUACCCUCAGAAUACGAAGGUCCUAGGGAAAAAGUUGACACAGAGAAAUUAUGAAAGACUCAAGCAAUUGACUGAUGAGCGAUAUUUAUGUCGCUCUUAGCUUAGGAUUUUAGUUCAUUUUAUUAGCAUUUUAUUAUUAUUCUUCCUUAGUUUUAUCGUUUUUAGUUCGUUUAUCGUAUUUUUGCAUUAAUCGUAAUAUUUUCUCGUCUUGCGUAGAUUUUAGUCAUUUUUGCUUUAAACGUGCCUUUUGUGCGCAUUCUCAUUGCGUAAGGGUCGUUUGGAGUAUUAACAUUUUAAAUAUUGUGUCAUUAUGCUUGACGAUGUUUAAUAUGAUUUUACUAUUUGCAAAAGUGCGAUACGAAUUAAUAAUAUGCUAUGCGAUUUAAUAAGUGUGCUAGGCGAUUUCGGUAACAUUGGCUAUUCGUUAUUUGUUGAAUGCAGCGACGAAGCGAGCCAUGAGAAUUUGAGUGGCCAGCAGCGUGCAAACAGCCCAGCUAAGCUGCAACAGCAGCUAUACGCAAGCAGCCACAGCUGCAACUCAAGAACAGCAGUGCACUUGCCUUUGUAGCAGCCUCGUGGACUCAUUUUCACGAGCUUUGAAGUGUCUUGACAACAUCAACAAAGGGAGUUAGCAAGGCAAGAACAUCAGCACUCGAGCAUCACAAGAACAGCAGCUAUGCACGAGUAGAAUAGCAGCUACGCACGAGCAGAACAACAUCAUCACAGAACAGCCACAGCAGCGCGCAACAGAACUGCCAGCUACAGCGUUGUGCGGUCGAACAGCCAGUCUGUGCGGUCGCACAGGCUGCUGUGCGGUCGUGGUACAGAGCUCGGGCGCACAGAUGGGCAGAAUGUUUACAGUAGCUCCUGAUUUUUAUUGUGCGACUGAACAAGAAGUUGUGCGACCAAACAAGAAGUUGUGCGACAGAACAUACCCUCUAUUCGAUCGCACAGCUGCGCGGGUUUGAAGUUAUAAAAGAGAAUUCGCACCAUUGUUUCGAGGACGUAGUUAGUUAGUUCUCAUUUUUAGAUUUUCAUAAUUAGAAUUCUAGAGAGAGAAUUAGAUUAGGGCUUAGAUUAGAGGUUAGGAUAGGAUUCUUAGCUUCAAAUUCUUCAAUUCUUAGUUGAUUCAAACUCUAAAUUUCAGAUUUCUUUUCUCUUUCAUUUGAGUUUUGUUCUCCAAUUUUGUUCUUCAAUUUGGAUGCAAUUUCAACAAUUCAAGACGAUUGCGAAUCAAGAAAUUAGGGGUAAAUUUUGAGCCCUAAAUUUGGGCCUCAUUGAUGUGGCAAUUCAGCACGCAUAGCAGCAAUUGAGAUGCGUUAACCGACAAUCAACCAGCUCGUCGAACCAGUCAAACAAUAGAAUUAAUGAUAAUCUCACAAGUAUGGAAGGAAAUCAAGCCAAAUCAAAAUAUUACAAGACCUUCACCCGAUAACGCAGCAAUGAGAAAGGCAAGGAGAAUAUCUCAAAAGAUCACGACGGCCAACCGUUAAUAUAGGACAUUUAGUAUAAAUUGGCUUUGAAAUCUCACUUGUAAUUCAUUCACAUUCUUGUACGAUUAACACUAAUAUCAAUAAGAUCUCUCAAUUACUUUCCA